UACGUAGGGUGCGAGCGUUGUCCGGAAUUACGGGGCGUAAAGAGCUCGUAGGUGGUUUGUCGCGUUGUUCGUGAAAACUCACAACUCAAUUGUGGGCGUGCGGGCGAUACGGGCAGACUGGAGUACUGCAGGGGAGACUGGAAUUCCUGGUGUAGCGGUGGAAUGCGCAGAUAUCAGGAGGAACACCGGUGGCGAAGGCGGGUCUCUGGGCAGUAACUGACGCUGAGGAGCGAAAGCGUGGGGAGCGAACAGG
rnacentral:rRNA from 1 species